AUCUCUACUGUACAGUGUGGGUUUGUGUCAGUGGUGGAUGUGAUAUAGCUAUUGUUAGUGUGUUCUUUUCUAAUCAGCAACUCUAAGAAAUAAAGUGCCCCUUCGGAGAUAAACCAGACUUCAGUUUGCUUUCAUCUACAGCUGGAUUCCUAGCAAGCUCCAAGGCUGCCAGUUGUUUCAUCCUAAUGCAGGCUUCCGGAGAUACUUUGCGUGCUGAAUUCUGCUACAACAAAAGUACAGUAUUUGCAGCAGAACUGGAUGAAGAAAUUCCAAACUUCAAAGAGACUUCUCACUGAUACCUUUGUCCAUCUGCCUACCUGCAUCAAAGAAGAACAGAAAUAAGAAUUCAGUUCAAGAUAAAUAGAUUUUAUUAAAAUAAUCAAACAUUUCAGUGAGGUAAAAUGUGAAUGUGAAAUGCAUUUCCUUACAGUUGCAGAAGUUGACAAUACACAUUAAGUUUAAUCUACUUUUUUUGUGUCAGAGCCAGUAUGGCAUAGUGGUUUGAGCACUGGACUACAACUCUGGAGAUAGGGUUCAAUUCCAAGCUCAGCCAUGGAAACUCACUGGAUGACCUUAGGUGAGUCACUCACUCUCAGCUACAGAAAACCCUGUGAUUUACCUUAAGGUAACCAUAAAUAGGACAUGACGUGAAGGAAUGCAACAACAACAACUUAUUUGUAUAUGCCAGGAGAGUGGUAGCUGGUGACCUUCAUGUCAGAUGAAUCUGCUCCAGGUUUUGGAGUAUUAAAGGAGGUAUCCAAGAUGAUAAACUGGUAUGAAUGAUAUAGUUUAGCACUGUUGAUAAUCCCUUUCAGUCUGAGCUAAAUCCUGGAAUCACCACUCCCAUGACAUGGGAAAGGAAAAAUGAAAGGAACAAAAGGAAAGGUAUGAAAGAAUGGAUAUACAGUAGGAGGAAAGAAGUCAAGAAAGGGAUAAGUGAUAAAGAGGUAGAGAUAUGAAGAGAGAGGUAGUUAGUUAAAUGAGGGGGGGUUGGAAGUGGAAUUAAAUUCGUAAGGGGGCUAGAGGUAGGCAAAGAGAGUAUAAAUAGGUUUAGAAGGUUAGAGGGGGAAUGAAGAAGGAGUAAGGAGGAGAGGAUAAGAAUGUAGAAGGAGAGAAGGAGAAGGUUUCAAGGGAGAGGGAGAGAUGGGUAUAGAGUUGGAUGAAGAAUAUGUGUGAUGUACAAAUGUGUUGUGUUUAAAUUGAAUUGCUGAAUUGUUAUUGAAUUAAUUGAAUUAACUGAU